rnacentral:rRNA from 1 species
GAUGAACGCUAGCUACAGGCUUAACACAUGCAAGUCGAGGGGCAGCAUGGUCUUAGCUUGCUAAGGCCGAUGGCGACCGGCGCACGGGUGAGUAACACGUAUCCAACCUGCCGUCUACUCUUGGACAGCCUUCUGAAAGGAAGAUUAAUACAAGAUGGCAUCAUGAGUCCGCAUGUUCACAUGAUUAAAGGUAUUCCGGUAGACGAUGGGGAUGCGUUCCAUUAGAUAGUAGGCGGGGUAACGGCCCACCUAGUCUUCGAUGGAUAGGGGUUCUGAGAGGAAGGUCCCCCACAUUGGAACUGAGACACGGUCCAAACUCCUACGGGAGGCAGCAGUGAGGAAUAUUGGUCAAUGGGCGAGAGCCUGAACCAGCCAAGUAGCGUGAAGGAUGACUGCCCUAUGGGUUGUAAACUUCUUUUAUAAAGGAAUAAAGUCGGGUAUGUAUACCCGUUUGCAUGUACUUUAUGAAUAAGGAUCGGCUAACUCCGUGCCAGCAGCCGCGGUAAUACGGAGGAUCCGAGCGUUAUCCGGAUUUAUUGGGUUUAAAGGGAGCGUAGAUGGAUGUUUAAGUCAGUUGUGAAAGUUUGCGGCUCAACCGUAAAAUUGCAGUUGAUACUGGAUAUCUUGAGUGCAGUUGAGGCAGGCGGAAUUCGGGGUGUAGCGGUGAAAUGCUUAGAUAUCACGAAGAACUCCGAUUGCGAAGGCAGCCUGCUAAGCUGCAACUGACAUUGAGGCUCGAAAGUGUGGGUAUCAAACAGGAUUAGAU